rnacentral:rRNA from 1 species
UACGUACGAGGCGAGCGUUAUCCGGAAUUACUGGGCGUAAAGCGCGCGCAGGUGGUUCGUUAAGUAGGGCGUGAAAUCUCCCGGCCUAACUGGGAGGGGUCGCCCUAGACUGGUGGACUUGAGGCUGGCAGAGGUAGGUGGAAUUCCUGGUGUAGUGGUGAAAUGCGUAGAGAUCAGGAGGAACACCGGUGGCGAAGGCGGCCUACUGGGCCAGCACUGACGCUGAGGCGCGAAAGCUCGGGGAGCGAACGGG